AAAACCUGCUAGUCAGAGAUGAGUUCAUACAAUAAGAUAUUAUUUAGCCUUAACAGAGAAGCAAAUCCUGUCAUUGGUGACAACAUGGAUGAAGCUGGAAAACAUUAUGCUAAAUGAAAUAAGACAGACACAUGACAACACGAUUCCAUUUAUACGAGGUAUCUACAAUAGUCAAACUCAGAAGCAUCAAAUGGUGAAUGCCAAGGACAGUGGGUAGGAGGAAAUGGGGAGUUAGCCAAUAAAUAAAAGUUUCUGUUAUGCUAGAUGAGUAAGUUCUAGAGAUCUGUUGUACAACAUCGUGCCUAUGUCUAACAAUACUUUAUUGCACACUUAAUUUAUUAAGAGAGUAGAUUUCAUGUCAAGUGUUCUUGUUUUAAAAAAAGGCAAAAAGAAACAUUUGGAGGUGAUGUAUAUGUCUAUUUCCUUAAUUUUGGUGACAGUUUCACAGGUGUGUGCAUAUGUCCAAGUCAUGGAAUUGUAUACAUAAUUUAUGUGCAGUCUCUGAGAGAGAAAGAGAGAACCCAAGCCUAAACAGGAACUGUGCCUAGUUCCUCUGAAAAGAAGGGUGGCUUGGCUGUGGACCUUAUCUUUGGGAGGAGGGGUCAGAGGAGAAUUUGCAGUUAGGACAUCGUGGCAUACCUAUUUAUUCUCUAUUUUAUAUUCAGCGUUUUUUCUUAAAAUUAUAGGAGUUGUCAUGUUUAACUUUAGUGGAAUCUUCAAUUAUAACUAUAAUUUGAAUCCUAGUAUUAAUUAAAGCUGUGAAGGUUUGUGCAAAAUGCUAUUAGUGCAUUUUAGUAGAUGGUAAAGUUAAUUUGGAACCUAUGUUGUAGAGGUGCAAAAGCUAAUCAACUCCCUUUUAUAUUUUUGUUGUACAAAUUAUUUUAGUAAAGUUUGGAUUUCCAGUUGGGUCAAUGUGUGCACCUAUUUUUUCUAGUUUUUUUGUUUUCUCCUUCUUUAUCGAGGUUUCUUCCUCCUUUCCCCUCGUCUUUCAUUCCUUCCUUUCUCUUUUUGUUGUCCAUGUUUGUCACUGUAUUUACACGAGUGUGUGUGGGGUGCAGGGUUCCUUUCUACUCCACUCAUACUGAUAAAUGUAUUCCUCCAGAGAGCCUCAAAUCAGUAUCAUUGUGGUUAGAGACUUCUUUGGUGGCAGUAGUUGCUUUAUAGGGAUGAAGGACCUCGAGCUUAAGUCAAACUAAAAUGAACUCUUAUUGUGCCUCAGUGGUGUCUGGGGUGUUUUCCCUAAUACCCAGAGAAUCAGGAUGUUUGUUGCAAGAGAGACAAAGGCAGCAGAGUGGCACAGUUAGAGUGCUGGGCUCAUAAACCAGAUAUUGAUGCACUGUAACCAUCUUCUGCUAUGGCCUCGCCUUUUCUGCAGUGCAGGCUUCCUUUUCUUCCUCUCUUUUCUCUCUGUACACAUUCCUUCAGAGUAUUUUGAAUUUCUAAUCACAUAAAUCAUGACUUUUAGUUUCUAUUUCUGUCUGAUUAUUCAGGGUGCAAAGUGCAUUGUGGGUGGUUACAGGGAAAAACCCAGGAGCCCAACAGUUGCCCUCAUGAGUGCCUCCCUCCUUCUCCAGGGAGUGCCAGUCAAUCUUCCCAGGUUUCCAUGGUUGGGCACCUCAUUACCCUGGGAGGUCAGGGAACAACACAGGACAACAGCAAAAGAAGCAGAAGCACCGAAGAUGAGCAAAGCCACUACCCUUGCCUGAACAUCAAUGGCUCACAUUAGGCAAUGAAGUGCCACACUUAAUUCUCUCUGGAGUGGUGGUCACCUUCAUUCACACAAGCCUCACAAAGGUCCAUUACUGGUCCUAUCCCCACCUAUCCACCAUCCCAUUCUGUUGGGCCAUUCUGUUUGUAAUGCCAAUUGAUAUGGCUGUCCCAAACUGCCACUGACCAUCACCAGGACAGAUGCAGUGAGCAAAGAGCUCCAGUCUGUCCUCUGUUUAGUGGGACUCAAGCACAGGUUAGUCAAGGCCCUGUGUUAUCACUGCCUUUCUGACUUGCCAAACAUGUGCUCAGUCUGACAUUAGGCUAUGUUAAGGUAUAGUCAAUUAAUAACAAUUCUGGUCUUAGGGAGAAGAGUGUUUUAGGGUGGGAAUUGAUGGAAAAACUCAAAAAAGGUAACAAACUGCACAGACAAAAGCAUAAACCGACCAGUAAUUGGCGAUUCUGUCUCUAAAGGCUUCACCGUAUCACAGAACAAGUUAGUUAGCAAAGAACAGUUAAUUAAAGCUGACCAGGUGUCCUAGGUUAUGGUUGGGCCAUCCUGUUCAUUAUGCCAAUUGUUUUAAUUGCCUCAAAUUCUUCCCAUUGGUGCGGGAUGGAUUUCACCCUAGGGUUAAGCAGAUGGCCAAACACAUGCCACCUGACACUGGACAGAUGCGAUCUACAGCACUUUGUUAGUCACGUAUACUCACAGCCUGUGGGAGGAGGACCUGCUUGCCACACAGGGUUUACACUUGGGAAUGGAGUGAACAGGCAGGGUCUGUGGGAGGCAGGCUUUGUAGUAUCAAGAAGGUGAGAUGACCCCUUGUUUCCACUAAAGGAUGUGAUUGACCUGUUUGAAUAAUUCCGUGGGCUGGCAGGGAAAUGAAAUCCCCUAUUCAGAGAUAAGCAGGAAUUCUGCCUGGUCCCCUAGACUAGGAAACUUAUAGAAAGGGGAACUUGCAGUUAAGCCAUGCAAGUCUUUAUUUUACCAAAAUGUUAUGACGGCACAUAUGAAUAGUUUUUUGGGUCUUAUAUCUGGGUCCUGCACCACAUAUAUGUUCUGUCCAUUUUUGCUGAAUAUAUUUUGAAACUCUGUUCUUAGGUACAUUAACAUGCAUGUCUACUUCCUCUUCUUGAAUCAUGGAUCCAUUUAUCAUAAAUAUUUGAAAAUCAUAUAUUUGAUAGGGGAUUUGUAUCCAGAAUGAAUAAAGAAACAAGAAAAAGACAAAUAACCAAGUUUAAAAAUGAACAAAGGGUUUGAAUAGACAUUACUCCAAAAAGAGCCAAUAAGGACAUGUUCAACAUUUGAUUAAUCACACCAAUGCCAAUCAGAAUCACAAGGAGAUAUCAAUUCACACACUCUCGGGUGACUAUAAUCAAGAAGAAAAAGUACUAAGUUUUGGAGAGGAUGUGGAGAAGUCAGAACACUCAUAAAUUGCUGUGAGGAUGUCAGACAGUGCAGCCACUUUGGAAAACACUUUGACAGUUACUCAAAAGGGUAUGCUUAGUUAGCAUAAAACCAAGCAGUUUUACUCCUAGGUAUAUACCCAAAAGCAAGGGGAAAAUAUAUGCAAACAAGAACUUAUACAUGAUUGUUAAUAGCAGCAUUAUUCAUAUUAACCAAAAAAUUGAAACAAUCCAGCUAUCUACCAGCUGAUAUAUAUAUUAAUAGUUAAAUACAAUUUGGUAUAUCCAUACAAUGUGAUAUUAUUGGGUAAUAAAGAGAAAAUAAUUAGUGAUACAUGCCAUGACAUAGAUAAACCUUGAAGACAUUAAAAUGAUAAGAUUCCAGUCACAAAAGAUCAUAAUUUGUAUGAUUUAAAUUAGACGAAAUGUCUAGAAUAGGGAAGUCCACACAUUUGGAAAGUAGAUUCAUGGUUGUUUAAGUUUGGAGGAGUUGAGGAUAAAUGGGGAGUGACCGCUAAUGGAUAUGGGGUUUCUUUGUAGAAUGAUGAAUAUGUUCUGAAAUUGACUGUAGUGAUAAUUAUAUCACUCUAGAAGGAUACUGAAAACAUUGAAUUGAGUACUUUAAAUGUGUGAAUUGUAUGGUGUGUGAGUUAUGCCUCAAUAAAGUUGUUAUAUUAAACAAACAGAUGCCUGCCUCUCUACAAAGAAAACAGCAGACUAGAGGACUUCAUUGACUUACAACCUGUUGACUGAGGAG
rnacentral:lncRNA from 1 species